UCUACGGGAGGCAGCAGUGGGGAAUAUUGCGCAAUGGGCGAAAGCCUGACGCAGCGACGCCGCGUGAGGGAUGAAGGUCUUCGGAUCGUAAACCUCUGUCAGCAGGGAAGAACGGUCACUGUGCUAAUCAGCAGUGAAUUGACGGUACCUGCAAAGGAAGCACCGGCUAACUCCGUGCCAGCAGCCGCGGUAAUACGGAGGGUGCGAGCGUUAAUCGGAAUUACUGGGCGUAAAGCGCUCGUAGGCGGUAUGUCAAGUCAAGGGUGAAAUCCCCGCGCUCAACGUGGGAACUGACUUUGAAACUGGCAAACUGGAGUGUGUGAGAGGAUAGUGGAAUUCCAGGUGUAGGAGGGAAAUCCGUAGAUAUCUGGAGGAACAUCAGUGGCGAAGGCGACUAUCUGGCACAUAACUGACGCUGAGGAGCGAAAGCGUGGGUAGCAAACAGGAUUAGAUACCCGUGUAGUC
rnacentral:rRNA from 1 species